GUGUGUGUGUGUGUGUGUGUGUGUGUGUGUGUGUGUGUGAAGGGGGAAGGGACUGGAGGAGUGAUGUUGCCCUGUGUCUGGGGAAGCAGCUCAUGCAGCUAGCAAGCACCUGAGGAGUUGAGGCCCAGAAGGGGCAGGAAAGGGACAGUGUAAGUGUGACCAGGAGGUCACAGCAUAAGGGACCAGGCUAUGAGAGGCUGGCCCAAGGGGAAACUCCUGCAUUCAGCCAUUUAAAGUUUCAAAACUCUUCCGGUGCUGUGGUAUUUCUAUGCCCUUGUCCUGGCCGCUAGAAGCCUGGCCGUUUGCUGCUGGCCCCCGGCAGAGGUGGGAGGUAUCUACCAGUAGGAAGGAGAGGUGGGGUGAGACAGGAUCCAUGGACGCCAGUGCCUCUUGGUCCGUACGCCGCUGUGCCUCUGAAACAGUCUCCGAGUCACCGGCUACCUCUUCACAGAACUGAGCAGUGGCAGCAGCUACUGCAGGAACCAGGAAGGAAGGAGACGGCGGAGCCUCCCCUCCAGCCGGAUCUCCCCACCUGCCCCUCCCCCGUUGCCUCCUCCCGCCAAGCUCCGGGCUGCCGCUCAGCUCUGCCCCCCUGCUCUCGGGAGGACUAAGGACGGAGAGAAAUGAGGGGCACAAAUGACUUGGAAAUGAGGGGCACAAUCCUCACUGGGCAUAGUUCCACAUGAUUCAGAGGAUUGAACAACUGCUGGCUUCAAGCCAUCAGAGCCCAGCACACUGAAGUGUGGAACAUAAAUGUCUGAGCCCACCAGGCCCCACUCGUGGGUAACUUUAUGAAGAAGUUCUACUUUGAGAAUUUGAGGCUUCAGAGAACUGAAUUCGAGACCUUAUCCAGAACUCAAACUUCUCUGCUGUUUCCUGAGUGGUGAGGACGAAAGGAGCUGGCACCUGCAUCUGGUGGUAGAGUGCUUGGCACAAGACCCAGCAGGUGCCAUUCACAAGUCUGCCUAACUGGUCCACCGUGGCAUGAG
ensembl:processed_transcript Gm11574 predicted gene 11574